rnacentral:rRNA from 1 species
UGCCCAAGAGAUCGGGAUAACACCUGGAAACAGAUGCUAAUACCGGAUAACAACAGAUGAUGCCUAUCAACUGUUUAAAAGAUGGUUCUGCUAUCACUCUUGGAUGGACCUGCGGUGCAUUAGCUAGUUGGUAGGGUAACGGCCUACCAAGGCGAUGAUGCAUAGCCGAGUCGAGAGACUGAUCGGCCACAUUGGGACUGAGACACGGCCCAAACUCCUACGGGAGGCAGCAGCC